GACGCACGCUGGCGGCGGGCCUAACACAUGCAAGUCGAACGAGUGGCGGACGGGUGAGUAAUGUCUGGGAAACUGCCCGAUGGAGGGGGGUAACUACUGGAAACGGUAGCUAAUACCGCAUACCAUCGGAUGUGCCCAGAUGGGAGUAGCUAGUAGGUGGGGGAACGGCUCACCUAGGAGACGAUCCCUAGCUGGUCGGAGGGGAGGACCAGCCACACUGGAAAUGCGACACGGUCCAGACUCCUACGGGAGGCAGCAGUGGGGAAUAUUGCACAAUGGGCGCAAGCCUGAUGCAGCCAUGCCGCGUGUAUGAAGAAGGCCUUCGGGUUGUAAAGUACGUUCAGCGAGGAGGCGUUACUCGCAGAAGAAGCACCGGCUAACUCCGUGCCAGCAGCCGCGGUAAUAC
rnacentral:rRNA from 1 species